rnacentral:rRNA from 1 species
AACGAACGCUGGCGGCAUGCCUAACACAUGCAAGUCGAACGAACCCUUCGGGGUUAGUGGCGCACGGGUGCGUAACGCGUGGGAACCUGCCUUUAGGUUCGGAAUAACUCAGAGAAAUUUGAGCUAAUACCGGAUAAUGUCUUCGGACCAAAGAUUUAUCGCCUUUAGAUGGGCCCGCGUUAGAUUAGAUAGUUGGUGGGGUAAUGGCCUACCAAGUCGACGAUCUAUAGCUGGUCUGAGAGGAUGAUCAGCCACACUGGGACUGAGACACGGCCCAGACUCCUACGGGAGGCAGCAGUGGGGAAUAUUGGACAAUGGGCGAAAGCCUGAUCCAGCAAUGCCGCGUGAGUGAUGAAGGCCUUAGGGUUGUAAAGCUCUUUUACCAGGGAUGAUAAUGACAGUACCUGGAGAAUAAGCUCCGGCUAACUCCGU